rnacentral:lncRNA from 1 species
ACAUCCUUCUCAUUUGGUCGAUUUUAUAAUGCGAUAUCCCAGGACAAGUAUCGCCGACCCUUUAGUUUAUUAAGCACAUGCGGAAGCAGUUAAAAUCCCCAGACAAUAAAACGAUGGGAUAGAAAAGCAGGGCCAUAUUUUUCAUAUUGAAAUUUACAACCAAACUUUUAUACAAAACAAAAACCACUUCAAAACUAUUCACAUCAAAAGAAAUUCUCAAAAGAAGAUAGACUUUCAGCCCAUCCAGGCCAUACUCAAGGCCCCUCUCAGGUUUAUCUUCUUCUUCCAAAAAUCCUUCUCUUUAAGUUUCACCUCCGAAUUCUCCUUCUCAGACUCCUCCUCAUCAGCUCCUCAUCGGGGUCCUGAAAUGUUUUUCCCCAAACUGGGAUGAGACUACGUCUCAGCGAGUUCUACCCCAUUAAGCCCGAUUAGUAAACCAUUAUACUACAGGCUGCCUAAACACGCACAAGGCAGAAAACGUACCUUGGCAUCAGAUCCCACCUGCAAGUCAGUACAAUUCAUAAUAGGCACCCAAGCAAUCAUAACACAGAUCGAAGCAUCAAUCAAAUCGACAUAGUCGAUUAUAUGCCAACAAGACCACUCACGGUCAUUUCCAUUCAGUCAAUCAAUUCACAACAUCAAAUCAAAGCAAUGAUCAAUCGACCUCGUCGAUUACAUGUCAGACGGACCAUUCUAGGUCAAUUCGAUUAUUCCAUCUCAAUCAUCAAUUACGAACUACGGUCCUCAGAUCACAUCUUAAGCAAAGGUGGAAGACACAGUCCACCACUCGACAACAUUCAAUAUUUAAUGGCUUUACGGUCCCACUCGACCACUUGCAAGAUUCAAUGGUUUUACGGUCCCACUCGACCACUUGCAAGAUUCAAUGGCUUUACGGUCCCACUCGACCACUUGCAAGAUUCAAUGGCUUUAUGGUCCCACUCGACCACUUUCAAGAUUCAAUGGCUUUACGGUCCCACUCGACCACUUGCAAGAUUCAAUGGCUUUACGGUCCCACUCGACCACUUUCAAAAUUUAAUGGCUUUACGGUCCCACUCGACCAAUUGCAAGAUUCAAUGGCUUUACGGUCCCACUCGACCACUUUCAAGAUUCAAUGGCUUCUCAAUGAAAUAAUUAACCACAACUAUUUAGGAAUAUAUCCUAAAUUCCACAAUUAAAUCAAUUCAGCACAAAGUAAAGCUCAAUUAAAUAAACGGACUGUGCCACGACGAUCAGCACGAGAUUUCGGUCAUCGGUCAUCUCAAUCUUAAUUUCUGAAAAAUAAAUAAAUAAUUAAUUAAUUUCGAAAAUUAAUUAUUAAAUAUUAAAAAUUCCGUUUAGCUCAAAAUAAGGCCCAAUUGAAUAAACGAACUUCACCACGGUCAUCAGCAUAAAUUUCCGGUCACUAGCCAUCCCAAUUGAAUUUUUGUAAAAUAAAUAAUUAUUUAAUUAAUUUCGAAAAUUAAUCAAUAUUAAAAAUUCAAUUUAGCUUAAAAUAAAGUCCGAUUAAAUAAACGGACUUUCCCACGGUCAUCAGCAUAAAUUUCCGGUUCCGGACCAUCUCCCUUGAAUUUUCGGAAAAUAAAUAAUUAUUUAAUUUAAUUCCGAAAAUUAAUAUUUAAAUGCCCAAAAAUCUCACUUAGGCCCGAAUCAUCAAAUUGAAGCUCAAUUAGGGGUCCGAAAAUUCCCGAGACACUCCUAAUAAAUAGUAGACCACGUCUACUUAUUGAUUGCACAAUCAAUUUAUCUAAAUCGCAUCACAAUUGACUAAUAAUUGCUAAUUAAUUCUAAUCUAACAACCUAAACAUAAUUAAUUAAAAAUAAACCAACCUAAAGCAUAAUUAGCCAACUAAUCAAAGAUUAGUGAGAUUACUCACCAAAUCGCGCGCAAAUCGAAUCAAUCCGACGGCGGCGACGCGAGGAACGAUUAUCCCCAAAGCACGGCUCGGGUUCGGGGCCGGGAAACGGCCCAAAACGGCCUUGAACAGUGCUGGAAACCCAUUUUUCCGGCUGUUGUUCAUGGCCAAACGAGGCUGUUCCGGUGGCUGAGAUGGCGGAGCAAGACCGGCGGAGGGCGAGGGGAACGUCGGGGAGGUCGGGCGGAGUUGGGCGGUGGCCGGAGGUGGCCGGACGGUGGCUGGUCGGUGCAGACAAGGGCGAAACAGGGCUAAUUCGCGGCUGGAUCGCGCAGGACGGCGGGACGACGGCGAGCGGCUGGCACUCGGGCGCGGCGCGGACGCGGGCGCGGGCUGCGGUGGGACGAGCUGCUCCGUCGAGCUGCAGCCGUGUGGCUUCUUCUUCCUCGCUUCUGGUUUUCACGAGCGAGAAACGAAGGAAAGAGGAAGCCUUCGGUCACGUGGGGGAAAAAGUGGGAGAGAAGAGAGAGGAGAGAGAGAGGGAAGAGAUAAGGGAGAGAAGAGAUAAGAGAGAGAAAAGUGAGCGGUGGGGGGAAAAAGAAAGCUGUCCGCACGUUGGGGAGGGGAGAGGAGAGAGAAGAGAGAGAAAAGAAAGAAAAAGAAAGAAAAGAAAGGAAAAGAGAGGGAGAGAGAGAAAAGAAAUAAAACAAUAGCCUUAAUUUUCUUUUCUUUUCUCUUUCCCUUUCUAUUUCUUUUCGGGCUUCAAAUUUUUCUUCCGAUAAUUUCUUUAUUGAAAUUUCGGAC